rnacentral:rRNA from 1 species
UACGGAGGGAGCUAGCGUUGUUCGGAAUUACUGGGCGUAAAGCGCGCGUAGGCGGCUUUGUAAGUUAGAGGUGAAAGCCCGGGGCUCAACCCCGGAACUGCCUUUAAGACUGCAUCGCUUGAAUCCAGGAGAGGUGAGUGGAAUUCCGAGUGUAGAGGUGAAAUUCGUAGAUAUCGAGAGGAACACCGGUGGCGAAGGCGGCCUUCUGGACAGUGACUGACGCUGAGACGCGAAAGCGUGGGGAGCAAACAGG